rnacentral:rRNA from 1 species
UAUUGGACAAUGGGCGAAAGCCUGAUCCAGCCAUGCCGCGUGAGUGAUGAAGGCCUUAGGGUUGUAAAGCUCUUUCGUCAGGGAAGAUAAUGACGGUACCUGAAGAAGAAGCCCCGGCUAACUUCGUGCCAGCAGCCGCGGUAAUACGAAGGGGGCUAGCGUUGCUCGGAAUCACUGGGCGUAAAGCGCACGUAGGCGGCUUUCUAAGUCAGGGGUGAAAUCCUGGAGCUCAACUCCAGAACUGCCUUUGAUACUGGAAAGCUUGAGUUCGAGAGAGGUGAGUGGAACUGCGAGUGUAGAGGUGAAAUUCGUAGAUAUUCGCAAGAACACCAGUGGCGAAGGCGGCUCACUGGCUCGAUACUGACGCUGAGGUGCGAAAGCGUGGGGAGCAAACA